CAGUAGCCGCGGUAAUACGUAGGUGGCAAGCGUUGUCCGGAAUUAUUGGGCGUAAAGGGCUCGCAAGCGGUUUCUUAAGUCUGAUGUGAAGGCCCCCGGCUCAACCGGGGAGGGUCAUUGGAAACUGGGAAACUUGAGUGCAGAAGAGGAGAGUGGAAUUCCACGUGUAGCGGUGAAAUGCGUAGAGAUGUGGAGGAACACCAGUGGCGAAGGCGACUCUCUGGUCUGUAACUGACGCUGAGGAGCGAAAGCGUGGGGAGCGAACAGGAUUAGAGACCCCGGUAGUCCCUGUCUCUUAUAC
rnacentral:rRNA from 1 species